UACGAGAGGCCCAACCGUUAUUCGGAAUUACUGGGCUUAAAGAGUUCGUAGGCGGCAUGAAAAGCAGGGUGUGAAAGCCCUCGGCUCAACCGAGGAAUUGCGCUCUGAACUGUCGUGCUUGAGGAACCUAGAGGUGAGCAGAACUGAUGGUGGAGCGGUGAAAUGCGUUGAUAUCAUCAGGAAUACCGGAGGCGAAGGCGGCUCACUGGGGGUUUUCUGACGCUGAGGAACGAAAGCCAGGGGAGCGAACGGG
rnacentral:rRNA from 1 species